rnacentral:rRNA from 1 species
UGCCAGCAGCCGCGGUAAUACGUAGGUGGCAAGAGUUGUCCGGAUUUAUUGGGCGUAAAGCGAGCGCAGGCGGUUUUUUAGGUCUGAUGUGAAAGCCUUCGGCUUAACCGGAGAAGUGCAUCGGAAACCGGGGGACUUGAGUGCGGAAGAGGACAGUGGAACCCCAUGUGUAGCGGUGAAAUGCGUAGAUAUAUGGAAGAACACCAGUGGCGAAGGCGGCUGUCUGGUCUGCAACUGACGCUGAGGCUCGAAAGCAUGGGUAGCGAACAGGAUUAGAUACCCUGGUAGUCCAUGCCGUAAACGAUGAGUGCUAAGUGUUGGAGGGUUUCCGCCCUUCAGUGCUGCAGCUAACGCAUUAAGCACUCCGCCUGGGGAGUACGACCGCAAGGUUGAAACUCAAAGGAAUUGACGGGGGCCCGCACAAGCGGUGGAGCAUGUGGUUUAAUUCGAUGCUACGCGAAGAACCUUACCAGGUCUUGACAUCUUCUGCUAACCUAAGAGAUUAGGCGUUCCCUUCGGGGACGGAAUGACAGGUGGUGCAUGGUUGUCGUCAGCUCGUGUCGUGAGAUGUUGGGUUAAGUCCCGCAACGAGCGCAACCCUUAUUGUCAGUUGCCAGCAUUUAGUUGGGCACUCUGGCGAGACUGCCGGUGACAAACCGGAGGAAGGUGGGGAUGACGUCAAAUCAUCAUGCCCCUUAUGACCUGGGCUACACACGUGCUACAAUGGACGGUACAACGAGUCGCGAAACCGCGAGGUCAAGCUAAUCCCUGAAAGCCGUUCUCAGUUCGGAUUGCAGGCUGCAACUCGCCUGCAUGAAGUUGGAAUCGCUAGUAAUCGCGGAUCAGCAUGCCACGGUGAAUACGUUCCCGGGCCUUACACACCGCCCGUCACACCAUGAGAGUUUGUAACACCCAAAGCCGGUGAGGUAACCUUCGGGAACCAGCCGUCUAAGGUGGGACAGAUGAUUAGGGUGAAGUCGUAACAAGGUAGCCGUAGGAGAACCUGCGGCUGGAUCACCUCCUUUCUAA